AUUGAACGCUGGCGGCAGGCCUAACACAUGCAAGUCGAGCGGAUGAAGGGAGCUUGCUCCUGGAUUCAGCGGCGGACGGGUGAGUAAUGCCUAGGAAUCUGCCUGGUAGUGGGGGAUAACGUCCGGAAACGGGCGCUAAUACCGCAUACGUCCUGAGGGAGAAAGUGGGGGAUCUUCGGACCUCACGCUAUCAGAUGAGCCUAGGUCGGAUUAGCUAGUGGGUGGGGUAAAGGCCUACCAAGGCGACGAUCCGUAACUGGUCUGAGAGGAUGAUCAGUCACACUGGAACUGAGACACGGUCCAGACUCCUACGGGAGGCAGCAGUGGGGAAUAUUGGACGAUGGGCGAAAGCCUGAUCCAGCCAUGCCGCGUGUGUGAAGAAGGUCUUCGGAUUGUAAAGCACUUUAAGUUGGGAGGAAGGGCAGUAAGUUAAUACCUUGCUGUUUUGACGUUACCAACAGAAUAAGCACCGGCUAACUUCGUG
rnacentral:rRNA from 1 species